UUCUAACGAAACAUAGAGAACUCCAUAGC
rnacentral:piRNA from 1 species